GAGUUUGAUCGUGGCUCAGGACGAACGCUGGCGGCGUGCUUAACACAUGCAAGUCGAGCGGAAAGGCCACUUCGGUGGUACUCGAGCGGCGAACGGGUGAGUAACACGUGAGUAAUCUGCCCCUCACUCUGGGAUAACUGCCUGAAAGGGUGGCUAAUACUGGAUGCGACCAACUGCUGCAUGGUGUGUUGGUGGAAAGAUUUUUUGGUGGGGGAUGUGCUCGCGGCCUAUCAGCUUGUUGGUGGGGUAAUGGCCUACCAAGGCUUCGACGGGUAGCCGGCCUGAGAGGGUGACCGGCCACACUGGGACUGAGACACGGCCCAGACUCCUACGGGAGGCAGCAGUGGGGAAUAUUGGACAAUGGGCGGAAGCCUGAUCCAGCAACGCCGCGUGAGGGAUGACGGCCU
rnacentral:rRNA from 1 species